GAGUCGCCGCGGAUCCUCAGGAGCGCGUGGGGUCCUCUCCAUGAAACGGCUAAGCGGGUUAUGUCCUCCAGGACUGGGAGGAUGGCGGCGCUUGCAGGGCCUCGCUGGACGCCCGCGGCGCUGCCGGGACUUCCUCCAGAAAUCUCCUUUGUGCUCGGGAGGUUGAAGACAAAAGCGAAGGAGUUUCACGGUUCCACCUGGGAGUGAUGGACAUCCAGAAGCAACUUGUGGUCUAACUCCAAGAGGAGAUGGUGGAAAGAGCCCCGGGGAUGGAGAUGGAAGGAGGAGAGUCACGGAGAGAGGAGGAUUACCAAACAAAUCCCACAUGGGUGAUGCUCUUCAGACGACCAUCAGAGGCCCAGAGAUUCAGCCUCUGAGAUCUGCAGGUGCGUCUCCCUCCGGAUGAACGCCUCCUGCGUUCCCAGCUCCGCCCCUUUCUUCUCCGCGCAGCAUUCCUGCUGUUAUUGGAGAUGCGUAUCGUGAGGAAUAAACCUGCUGCAGCUGCGCUCGCCGUAACGCCACCGAAUGAGAGUGGAGCGCGUGUGCGGCGUACUUCAUGCACUGCAGGGCAGCCACCUGACUUAAUGUGCUCACUGAUUUCCAAUAAGGUGAGGCCCACUGGUAUUAUGAAGCUCAUUAAGUUACUUUGUGAGCGGACAGCGCCGUGCUGCUGACUGUGAUCUGAUGAGAAAAUACCGAAAUGGCGCAUUUGCAUAAAUGUAUGAGACACAACACAGCGGCUAAUGAAAGGACAGCAAACGACACAGAUUUCUAAAUUAGUCUGCAGUUUUCAGUCUUUCUAGCUGUUGGGAGCAUAAUAAACAGUUUAUUUUUCUGUGGAAUAUGUUG